rnacentral:rRNA from 1 species
GUUUGAUCCUGGCUCAGAACGAACGCUGGCGGCAGGCUUAACACAUGCAAGUCGAACGCCCCGCAAGGGGAGUGGCAGACGGGUGAGUAACGCGUGGGAAUCUACCGUACCCUACGGAAUAACGCAUGGAAACGUGUGCUAAUACCGUAUACGCCCUUCGGGGGAAAGAUUUAUCGGGGUAUGACGAGCCCGCGUUGGAUUAGCUAGUUGGUGGGGUAAAGGCCUACCAAGGCGACGAUCCAUAGCUGGUCUGAGAGGAUGAUCAGCCACAUUGGGACUGAGACACGGCCCAAACUCCUACGGGAGGCAGCAGUGGGGAAUAUUGGACAAUGGGCGCAAGCCUGAUCCAGCCAUGCCGCGUGAGUGAUGAAGGUCUUAGGAUUGUAAAGCUCUUUCACCGAUGAAGAUAAUGACGGUAGUCGGAGAAGAAGCCCCGGCUAACUUCGUGCCAGCAGCCGCGGUAAUACGAAGGGGGCUAGCGUUGUUCGGAAUUACUGGGCGUAAAGCGCACGUAGGCGGAUAUUUAAGUCAGGGGUGAAAUCCCGCAGCUCAACUGCGGAACUGCCUUUGAUACUGGGUAUCUCGAGUAUGGAAGAGGUGAGUGGAAUUCCGAGUGUAGAGGUGAAAUUCGUAGAUAUUCGGAGGAACAC